CCCUUAGAUGUUCUGGGCUGCACGCGCGCUACACUGAAGCUAUCAACACGUUUUCCCUCCCUGAGAAGGGCGGGUAACCUUUUGAAUCAGCUUCGUGGUAGGGAUCGGGGCUUGCAAUUGUUCCCCGUGAACCAGGAAUUCCUAGUAGACGCGAGUCAUAAGCUCGCAUCGAUUAAGUCCCUGCUCUUUGUACACACCGCCCGUCGCUACUACCGAUUGAACGUUUUAGUGAGGCAUUUGGACCGACGCAUCUCAGUUUAACCGCUGGUUUGUGUUGGAAAGACUUCCAAACUUGAGCGUUUAGAGGAAGUAAAAGUCGUAACA
rnacentral:rRNA from 1 species